UACGGAGGGUGCAAGCGUUAUCCGGAUUCACUGGGUUUAAAGGGUGCGUAGGUGGGUUGGUAAGUCAGUGGUGAAAUCUCCGGGCUUAACCUGGAAACUGCCAUUGAUACUAUCAAUCUUGAAUACCUUGGAGGUGAGCGGAAUAUGUCAUGUAGCGGUGAAAUGCUUAGAUAUGACAUAGAACACCAAUUGCGAAGGCAGCUCACUACACGGUCAUUGACACUGAGGCACGAAAGCAUGGGGAUCAAACAGG
rnacentral:rRNA from 1 species